CCCGCCGGGCAAUGGCCAAAGAGACACCGUGUUGGUGGUGGUUUUCUUAUAUCAGGGCAGAGAAGAUGGCAGUUCUUUGAUCAUCCUAGCUUGAUGGCUGGCUUGGUGACUAAAGCUGUCUUAUGCCUAGGACCCAUAA